AAAUUGAAGAGUUUGAUCAUGGCUCAGAUUGAACGCUGGCGGCAGGCCUAACACAUGCAAGUCGAACGGUAACAGGAAGCAGCUUGCUGCUUUGCUGACGAGUGGCGGACGGGUGAGUAAUGUCUGGGAAACGAAAC
rnacentral:rRNA from 1 species